AUUGAACGCUGGCGGCAGGCCUAACACAUGCAAGUCGAGCGGUAGCACAGAGAGCUUGCUCUCGGGUGACGAGCGGCGGACGGGUGAGUAAUGUCUGGGAAACUGCCUGAUGGAGGGGGAUAACUACUGGAAACGGUAGCUAAUACCGCAUAACGUCGCAAGACCAAAGUGGGGGACCUUCGGGCCUCAUGCCAUCAGAUGUGCCCAGAUGGGAUUAGCUAGUAGGUGGGGUAAUGGCUCACCUAGGCGACGAUCCCUAGCUGGUCUGAGAGGAUGACCAGCCACACUGGAACUGAGACACGGUCCAGACUCCUACGGGAGGCAGCAGUGGGGAAUAUUGCACAAUGGGCGCAAGCCUGAUGCAGCCAUGCCGCGUGUGUGAAGAAGGCCUUCGGGUUGUAAAGCACUUUCAGCGGGGAGGAAGGCGUUAAGGUUAAUAACCUUGGCGAUUGACGUUACCCGCAGAAGAAGCACCGGCUAACUCCGUGCCAGCAGCCGCGGUAAUACGGAGGGUGCAAGCGUUAAUCGGAAUUACUGGGCGUAAAGCGCACGCAGGCGGUCUGUCAAGUCGGAUGUGAAAUCCCCGGGCUCAACCUGGGAACUGCAUUCGAAACUGGCAGGCUAGAGUCUUGUAGAGGGGGGUAGAAUUCCAGGUGUAGCGGUGAAAUGCGUAGAGAUCUGGAGGAAUACCGGUGGCGAAGGCGGCCCCCUGGACAAAGACUGACGCUCAGGUGCGAAAGCGUGGGGAGCAAACAGGAUUAGAUACCCUGGUAGUCCACGCCGUAAACGAUGUCGAUUUGGAGGUUGUGCCCUUGAGGCGUGGCUUCCGGAGCUAACGCGUUAAAUCGACCGCCUGGGGAGUACGGCCGCAAGGUUAAAACUCAAAUGAAUUGACGGGGGCCCGCACAAGCGGUGGAGCAUGUGGUUUAAUUCGAUGCAACGCGAAGAACCUUACCUGGUCCUGACAUCCACAGAACUUUCCAGAGAUGGAUUGGUGCCUUCGGGAACUGUGAGACAGGUGCUGCAUGGCUGUCGUCAGCUCGUGUUGUGAAAUGUUGGGUUAAGUCCCGCAACGAGCGCAACCCUUAUCCUUUGUUGCCAGCGGUUCGGCCGGGAACUCAAAGGAGACUGCCAGUGAUAAACUGGAGGAAGGUGGGGAUGACGUCAAGUCAUCAUGGCCCUUACGACCAGGGCUACACACGUGCUACAAUGGCAUAUACAAAGAGAAGCGACCUCGCGAGAGCAAGCGGACCUCAUAAAGUAUGUCGUAGUCCGGAUUGGAGUCUGCAACUCGACUCCAUGAAGUCGGAAUCGCUAGUAAUCGUAGAUCAGAAUGCUACGGUGAAUACGUUCCCGGGCCUUGUACACACCGCCCGUCACACCAUGGGAGUGGGUUGCAAAAGAAGUAGGUAGCUUAACCUUCGGGAGGGCGCUUACCACUUUGUGAUUCAUGACUGGGGUGA
rnacentral:rRNA from 1 species